GACGAACGCUGGCGGCGUGCUUAACACAUGCAAGUCGAACGGAAAGGCCCUGCUCUUGUGGGGUGCUCGUGUGGCGAACGGGUGAGUAACACGUGAGUAACCUGCCCUUGACUUUGGGAUAAAUUCAGGAAACUGGGGAUAAUAUCGGAUAGGAGCUCCUGCUGCAUGGGGGGGGUUGGAAAGAUUCGGCGGUUGGGGAUGGACUCGCGGCUUAUGAGCUUGUUGGGGGGGUAGUGGCUUACCAAGUCUUUGACGGAUAGCCGGCCUGGGAGGGUGACCGGCCACAUUGGGACUGAGAGACGGACCAGUAGCCUACGGGAGGCAGCAGGGGGGAGUAUUGCACAACGGGCGGAAGCCUGAGGCAGCAACGUCGCGUGCGUGAUGACGUCUUUCGGGUUGUAAACCGCUUUGGCCUGUGACGAAGCGUGAGUGACGGUAAUUGGUAAAGAAGCACCGGCUAACUACGUG
rnacentral:rRNA from 1 species